CAAUUCAAUAUAAUCUGAUUUUAUAUAAAUUAUUUUUUUAUAUUUAUUUUGUUAUUUUUGUUGGAAUUAAUUUAUAGUCUUUGUAGCAUUUUGUAGAUUUGAUUUUUUAUAUUAUAGUUUAUUUUUACUGUAUGGGAUAUUUUUUAAUUAAUAGAAGUUAAUUUUUAUUGUACCUUGUGUAUCAGGGUUUAUUAAAUUAUAUUAUAUAUUUUUUAUUUCCCGAUUUUAAAGGAUUUAAAUAAUUAUUUUAUUUAUUGUUUUAUAAAUAUUAAUAAUAUUUAUUUGGUAGUGAUAUGUUAUUCGACUUUAAAGGUAUCUGGUUUUUCAAGAAAUGAAUUUAAUUCAUAUAUUUAUUAUUAUAUUUCUAUUUUUAUAGUUUAAUAUUUUAUUAAUAUAAAUAUUAUGGGGGAUAAGCUCUUUAUUAUAUUCUUAUAAUUAUUAUUAUUUGUAAUUUUUGUUGGUUUUAUAAUAACUAUCAAUUUAAGUUUGUUAAAAUUUUAUUUUGUUAAUUUUUUAUUUAUUGUUUUGUUUUAAGUAUUUUAUUGAAAUUUUUUAUUUAAUUAUUAUUUAUUUGUAAUUAUGAUGAAAUUAGNNNNNNNNNNNNNNNNNNUUUUAAUUGUUAAAAUUUUAAAAAGAACUAGGCAAAAUUUAUUCUCGCAUGUUUAUCAAAAACAUCUCUUCUUGUUUAAAAUAUGAAGUAUAACCUGCCCACUGAUUAAAAUUUUGAAGGGCCGCGGUAUUUUGACCGUGCAAAGGUAGCAUAAUCAUUAGUUCUUUAAUUGUGGACUGGAAUGAAUGGUUGGACGAAGAAUAGACUGUUUCUUAUUAUUUUAUUAUUGAAUUUAAUUUUUAAGUUAAAAAGCUUAAAUGUAUUUAUGGGACGAGAAGACCCUAUAGAGUUUAUAUAUAUUUAUUAAUUGAUUUUGUUUGAUUAUUUAUUUAUUAUUUAAUAUAUUUUGUUGGGGUGAUUGGAAGAAUUAAUUGACUCUUUUUUUUAUUAUACAUUUAUUUAUGAAUAGUUGAUCCAUUUUUGUUGAUUAUAAGAUUAAAUUACCUUAGGGAUAACAGCGUAAUCUUUUUUGAGAGUUCUUAUCGAUAAAUUGGUUUGCGACCUCGAUGUUGGAUUAAGAUUUAAUUUGGGUGUAGAAUUUCAAUUUGUUUAGGUCUGUUCGACCUUUAAAAUCUUACAUGAUCUGAGUUCAGACCGGCGGGAGCCAGGUUGGUUUCUAUCUAUAAUUAAUUUUAUAUCUUAGUACGAGAGGACCAGAUAUUUAAAAUAAUUUUUGUUUUAUGAUUAUUAUUAAUUUAUUUUGAUUACUAUUUUGGCAGAUAAGUGCAAUGGAUUUAGAAUCUUUUAAUAUAGAUUU
rnacentral:rRNA from 1 species